AUUGGAGAAUAUCACAUCUUUGGGUCAUUUAAAUAAAAUGCACAGAUUGCCUUAGCCACAGUCCUACUCAACAUGACUGUCUUGUCAAUUAAAAAAAACGACGACGUAUGUUUCUCAGUCCUAGCACAAGUACUACCUGAUGUUCUAACCAAACUCACGGAUCCAGAGUCUCAUUUUAGAAUCUAUGUUGCCUUAGGGACAUUAAUUCAGCAGUCAAACUCUCACAAGACUGAAAUUGUUCAGAGAGUGAACGAUAACAGCAAUUUCUUGACUACGUUACAGUUGCAUAGUUUUUCUGGAGGAAAUGAACUGGAAUGCAAAAGAACGAACUGCGUGAAACAACUGCAAGCUUUACUUCAAUAGUAUACUUUAAAAAAUGAAUUUUUAUAACAAGUGUUAAGCCAAAUUAAUUUAUUUUUAAAAAUACGUAUGUAAAAGUUGGAUACUUUAACAAUAUAGGUUUUGAAAGUGAAUUUUAA